AGAGAAAGAUGGUGAGUUACAAAAGGGUUAUUUUAUCUCUUUGCUGUCAAUUUUAAAAUAUACAAAUAUUAAGCUAUUUAGUCUCGUAGCUCAGCUGGUUAGAGCGCUACACUGAUAAUGUAGAGGUCGGCAGUUCGAGUCUGCCCGAGACUACAAAGUUUUAAAUAUUUGAAGGAAAUUCUGGAAGUUAGAGGAUUCAUCAUUCACAAUUCUGAAUUCAUAAUUCUGAAUUUCACAAUGGGGGAUUAGCUCAGCUGGCUAGAGCGCUUGCCUUGCACGCAAGAGGUCAUCGGUUCGACUCCGAUAUUCUCCACCAGGCAAUGCCUGGAGAUAAUUUAGUUUAUCUCUAGUGUAUUGAAGAAUCAAGAUUGAUAAAUUAUUUAUCAGUUGCGAUUCGUAACGUUCAUUGACAUAUUGGUAAAAAUGAUAUCGUAAAGAAUCAAGAUAGAGACGUUUAGUUUAUACUAAACGAUUUUAAAUUUUUAUAAGAACAAAAGAGCUCGUUGUAGUAUUUAUACUACGGCAAAAAGUAC
rnacentral:misc_RNA from 1 species